UCCGUGCUUCCGCCCCGGCGCGCCGCCGCUGGGCGCCCGGCGGGGCCGGGACCGGGACCGGGCAGCGGGUCUCACCAUCCCGGAGCAGAGGCUGAUAACGGCGGUGUGCCGCGGGCGGGCGUUGACGUGUCCCCGGUAGAAGCAGUGCUUCACGUCGGCGUUGGCCGCCUCGGCGUAGAGGCGCCGCUGGUCAGCGGCGGGCUCUCCCAGGAGGCUGACGGUAAAGAGCGGGGCGAUGAAAGCCGAGCUGGCCGUCAGGUUGAAGAGGAACUGCUGCCCGAAGGCGGAGAGCCUGUAGUGUGCCUUGUGGGAGGCGGCGGAGGCGGCAAUCCAGGCGUCGGGGACAGCGCUGGUGCUCCGCCGCCGCCGCCUGAAGUGGACAUCGGUGGGGAAGGGCUCGCCGAACUCAUUCACCCGGGUAGGAGUCACGAUCUCGUACUCGCUGAGCUUCUCCAGCAGCUUGGCUGCAAGAGAACCACACGCCCCUGAGUGGGGAGGCCGAGCCCCCCACCCCUCGGGGGGCAGCACACCAGCAUUCUCCCAGUACCCCAACCCCAGCAUCCCCUUACCUUGCCUGGGGUGCAGCUUCUGCCUCCUCGCUCCUAUCCUCAAGCCGUCGAUGAAGAGCGUGGAACGCCGGAAUCGCAGGUUUUCGCCAAGAAAAGCCCUCGCUGCGGUGGGACGGGAUGGGGCGGGUUGCGGGGGGCUCUGCCGCUGCCCCCGCUGCUCCUCACCGAUGGAUUUAAGAAGGCAAAGUGGCCCGGGCAGAACGUCACCGGCUGCUGCUGAGCUGCAGUGUCCUGGGGGGAAGAGCGACCCUGUCACUCGCCGGGAGGAGAGUCGAGCUUUCUUGCAUAAUUGAUGAUUUUCCAUCUUUCAAGCAUUCUGAGGGAAAAGAAAGAUUAUUUCCUUAUCUGAGUUGAUUCUGUUUCACAAUUUGGAAGUUUUUCUAUUGAAAUCUAAGACAUCCCUUAGAGUUCAAUGUAAUUAAACAUUGUCUUCUACCCUUCCUUAAACCAAAUCCCAAAUCUUGGUUUUAAGUUGUUCACUUUCUUCACUCGACUUUGGGACAAAGAACAAAUGAGUGUUUGCUGCAGGAAGGUAAAGCAUUAAAAUACAUCAAUUCAGAAUUCACUUCUGGACAAACAGCACCUCCUGGCUCUUUUAAACUAACUGGUAAAGCCCUAACAAACCUCAACCAUUAGCAGUAAAUUAUUAAUUUGGUACAAUGAAUAUAAAACUCAAAGUAAGCAAAGCAUCACUUGCAAAGCCAUGUGUCAUUAACUGCUCCUGGGCAGGCCCUCAGCCACAGCUCUGCACAGCAGGGCAUGGUGCAGGAAUCUCCGUGCUGGUGGAGACCCAAGUCAAGUCAUCACACCUUUAGGGCAAGGCAUAAUGGCAUGUAACCUUCCAGCGUGGCGUUGUGCCCACUCUUACAAACCAUGUUUAAUUCAGGUCUUGGAUGCUUACAAUAAGAUAACUCACCCAUGUUGGCUUUUGGGGGCUUGACAAAGCUGGGAUGCUUCCAGACUGAAGUUGCCUCGCAUGCAGCCAGCUCCAAGAGCAGCAUUGGGUCUUCUCACUAGUUCAGUCUUAGGCUGGUGUGAGCAUGGCUGUGGCUAUUUGAUGGUCCCGCACACUGGAGGAGCAGAGGCAUCUCCCUGCUUCUACUCUGGGUGUGCAGGAGCAGUGAGUGCCCAUUCUGGUACAUGUUGUCCUAUGCCAGGAGCAGCUCUUCCCUAUAAGCGAACAUAGUUGUAUCUCCAUGCACUUGCCUGCUCACGAGCAGACCUGGACCAGAUUUGCUUUUAAUGACACAAAGGGCUGCACAAGUAACAUCUUCCUAUCCUUGCAGCUAAUUGCUUGCUCAGGCCCCUGUGUUAAGCAAGAAACCCUCAGAGGAAAAGCAAGACUAGACUAUUCUAAAAUAACUUCAAUCUGCAAAGCCUGCUGAGGCUGCCAGCCAAACCCCUGGCUUGCAUGGCCUUUCCUAUCUUGGCAUGAAAGAGCAUGGGCAUUCUGACCCGUCCCACACUGAGCUGUGUCCUGAUUGAGUCAGAAAAGCCACUGAGAUCCUUGGGCUGCUGGAUGAACAAAAAGGGGAAUCUCAACAUCAUUGCAUAGCAGCCCAGGAAUCCACUCCAGGCAUGUUUUCUUGCUCUGAUUCUUCAUGCUUUCUCUGUCUCACCAUCAAAUAAAUGAAUUAAUUCACAGCA